ACCUUCUGCUUCAGAUAAGUUUGCGUCAAUCGUCCUUGCAACAGAACCGUGAUCAAUAAAUGCUUGAAGAGCCUGGUCGGGCAUUGUUGAAACCUAGCAGAAAUUUUAGUAGAGGUCAACCAUCAUUCAUGCAUACACAGAUAAAUAUAGCCCUCUAGUUUAACAGGAGACAAGAAUGUAAGCUCCCGUUUGGCCAUAGAUGUAACUUGAAAUUUUCAGUUCUAGAAGUUGUGAUUGGACAUGCAUUUUACUUGGUGAGCUAGUUUAUAGAAACAUGAAAAAAAAAAAAGAUCGGAUUUUGAAAAU